GUAGAAUAUGCAGCUGGAGACCAUGGCUGUGCCAGCAGAGCAUCUGAGAACCCGUGCAAUGGACUUCAAGAAUGUCCAUGUGAGAUACACGAAGAAAAGCCAAAGAGCUUGUGUGUGCUGGAUCAGAGAGGCCUCUGUGAGGUCUUUUUUCUAUCACACCAUGUUUACCAUUGAAAACAUGCAAGAAAUUUUCAAGGCAGGCUUGGGAAUCCUUAAAAACCUCUAUUUUGACUGAAGGAGAAAUGCCUAUGUAUGGAAAAAAUGAAGCAUUUCAAAAUCAAACUCUCUGUGUAAAUGAAAGACACUUUAGUAUAUGAAGACCCCAG
rnacentral:lncRNA from 1 species